UUGUUUUGGAGUGUGGCAGUAUGGUAGGACAGUUGGACUACGAAACACGUGUGCUGCCAAUGUAAGAAUCUUUGCACACGUGUCAGUAAGGAUUUGUGUAACGAACUCAGCUCAGCUUCCAUUCCAUUGCGCGGCAAAAUCGCUUGUCAUUUCCUGUUAAGGCAUUCAUUCAGUACGGCGAGAAGAUUUGAAGCGACGAAAGGCAAAAAUGGGAGUUUUCGAAACGGUGAAAAACAUCGGCAGCGAUCACGCUCAGGUCGUCCCCUUGACGUUGUUCGUUGCCGUUCUUUGUUUUUGUUUGGUUAUUGGCCACUUGCUUGAAGAAAAUCGAUGGGUUAAUGAAUCCAUCACCGCCAUUAUCAUUGGAGUUGUUACUGGAACGAUCAUAUUGGUCUGCAGCAAGGGAAAAAAUUCUCAUAUCCUAACUUUUAAUGAAGAAGUGUUCUUCAUAUAUCUUCUUCCACCAAUAAUUUUCAAUGCUGGAUUUCAAGUUAAAAAGAAGCAGUUCUUCCAUAAUUUCUUGACCAUUAUGCUGUUUGGGGUGAUUGGUGUUUUUAUAUCUGCACUUAUUAUAACGGCUGGCAGCCGAUGGCUGUUUCCGAGAAUGGGCUUUCAUGGACUGUCAGCACGGGACUACGUUGCUAUAGGUGCUAUUUUUUCAUCCACGGACACAGUAUGCACCCUGCAGGUACUACACCAAGAGGAGACGCCUUUACUCUACAGCCUAGUCUUUGGGGAAGGAGUGGUGAACGAUGCAACCUCAGUUGUUCUCUUCAAUGCAGUCCAGAAGAUUGAUAUCACUAGGCUUAACAACAAGACAGCCCUUCAUCUUUUGGGAGAUUUUUGUUACUUAUUUUCAACAAGCACUGUCCUUGGAGUUACCACCGGGCUUCUAACAGCAUAUAUCCUGAAAACCUUAUAUUUUGGGAGACAUUCAAGUGUGCGUGAGCUUGCGAUAAUGGUUUUAAUGGCUUACCUAUCGUACAUGCUGGCAGAGUUACUGGAGUUGAGUGGAAUACUCACAGUUUUCUUUUGUGGGAUUAUCAUGUCGCACUAUGCAUGGCAUAAUGUGACUGAUGGUUCAAGAAUUACCACCAGGCAUGUAUUUGCAAUGAUGUCGUUUGUUGCUGAAACUGCAAUAUUUCUUUAUGUGGGCAUGGAUGCUCUUGACAUUGAGAAGUGGAAGAUAACUAAAUUAAGCUUGUGGAAGUUGCUUGGUACAUAUACCACAAUAGUUCUCUUGAUAUUGCUUGGUCGUGCUGCUUUUGUAUUUCCCCUAUCUGCUAUAUCUAAUUACUUUGUUAAGCGUGAAGAUAGAUCGUCGUCGCCUUCUAUGAUCUCAUUUAAACAACAGAUCAUUAUAUGGUGGGCUGGACUGAUGAGAGGAGCUGUGUCCAUUGCUCUGGCUUUCAAACAGUUCACAUAUUCCGGGGUUACGGUGGAUCCAACCCAUGCAACAAUGAUUACCAACACCACAAUUGUUGUACUCUUCACCACAGUGGUAUUUGGGUUUCUAACAAAGCCACUCAUAAGAUGUCUAAUACCUCCCAACCAAGCAAGUAGCAGUACAAGCAACCCCAGACCAAAGUUCACUGAAGACGACAUAACUCUCCCUUUGCUCUCCAUGGAAGAGUCUGCUGCAACCAACGUCCUCCGGGCAAAGGAUAGUUUGUCGAUGUUAAUAGAGAGGCCUGUUUUCACCAUACAUUUCUUUUGGAGGAAAUUUGAUGAUUCAUACAUGAGACCUAUAUUUGGAGGGCCUCGCCACAACCAACCACCUGGUGGUUCUGGUUGUUAAGACACAACUGCAGGAACAGCAACUUUGAAUGGUUAAUAACUCUCUCUCUCACACUAAAAUAUUCCAAUUCUCAUUGAUCACUAAAUGAAACUUGAUGUUUAGAAUCUUGGAAUGUUGGAAGCAUAAAAACUGUGGUCAUUUUGGUAGUGGAAAGGAGCACAUAGUGAAAUCUGUGAUGUAAUUAUUGGCUGGAAACUAAUUGGAUUGGAUUGGAAGUGCUCUUUCUGACCACAUUGUUGCUUUAUUUAGUAGACAAACUCUUGUUGCUUUAUUUAGUAGACAAAAACUUUUGUUGCUUUAUUUAGUAGACAAAAACUUUGGCUCACAUGUAAAUAGUAUAAGUUUUUGUGUGACAUCAAGGAACAGGUACUGCAACUUGUCUUUUAUAUGUACAUACACAUGCAUGGUAUUGUCUUGUUAACAUGUCACUGAUCAAGAUUCAAGAACCAUAAGCUCCUCGAUCCUCCAUGUUUGAUUCUUCUCAAGGGCACUCAUCUUCUCAUAUACAACUUUUCUCCAUUCUGGAAUGUUAAGAGCCUCCAAAACGCUAUUUGGUGUUUGGAUAUUGGUGACACUAGAAGUAAAAGCAGAAAAAGACUCGGAGAGAUUUGAGUAAGAUACAUGAUUUAACAUAGGAUAUUCGACACAUGAACGUUUUUCUUUUCUCAAAGCCAUAGGAAUAUCAAAAUCAAAGAUUGAAUUUUCACCUGGGGAUUUGUCUGAUCUUGGUUCAAAAUCUUGACAGAAAAGAGGAGGGAUAGUUUUCGGGAUCUUGAUGAUUUGUCCUCCUCUCAUAAGUUUGCCCAAAGAGUUUUGUUGAUUUCAAUGGAUAUCUAUUUUCAGAAUGAUGUUGAUUACGAGUAAAAUGAUGUGAAUGCACACCAUCUAAUCCAUGCUGAUGCUUAUUUUUAAAGUUAAGAUUUUCUUCUCAAAUGUGAUUGCUGUUGAAAUUGUUUCAUGCAUUGUUUCCCUAAUCU